UUCUUCGGGGCGGGGUGUGAUUCCCCACCGGCGGUAAAGCCCGCGAACAAGGCAGGAAGCUUUGUAUGAUUUGGUGAGAUUCCAAAGCCGACAGUAUAGUCUGGAUGAGAGAAGAA
rnacentral:ncRNA from 1 species